CGGUACAGUGAUUCUACCUUUUUUUUUUUUUUGCAUAUUUUACGCCCCAUUUCAAUCAGGGAGAUUACUAAAGGGCGGGGCAGUUCCAACUACGGGCUACACCCACACCCGUGGUGUAGCCCGUAGUUGCCGGAUGAUGAAGGAUGGAAAUCGCGGAAAGUUUUUCGGGGUGCUAGGCCCGGCCCAGCACCCCGAAAAAACUAUUCAGGAGUAUCAGACCCGGGACGAAAACGUGGGUCCUCCUGCAUGGCACACCGAUAGCAUUACCAUAGUGGUUCAACUGCAAAUAGGAUAUCCAGCCAGCCACGUUUCCCUAUAUAUGAAAAACAUUAACUUUCGGAUAUAUAACUAAAUGUUCAAAAGUUCUGUUUAAUAAGAAUAUAUUUUUAAUUAUUGUCGAAAAACGUGCAUGAACGUGAUCAUUUUGCAUGCAUUUUAAAAUGUGCAUGCGAUCAUUUUAUGCCUUAUCAAUGAAAGCAGUUUUAAGUCUACAUAGGUAUGUUUAAAAUUGCUAAAAACGUAACGAAGUACUCGUAGACACAACAGGUUUUUUU
rnacentral:lncRNA from 1 species